CUGUGGGGUAUCUUUGCAACCUAAGGAGCAAGGGUUGGAAGCUGAAGCCUAUACUUCUUUAUUAUUGUGAGGAUCUUUGUGUCUUUGAGGCGUUAUUUGCUGAGGACAUGGAUGUUGCGACAAAAGAAGAGUGUGGAUGGGAAGAUUGAAAACCUGAGGUGUGCAAUUGUAAAGUAAAAUAAACAGUUGGAAGUUUAUUAUAAUUCACAACUAUUUAUUUAUCUAAAUGUUCUAAAAAUUGAUGAUUAGCAUUUGAUUUAAUGUCCAAAAACUCCAAAAACUAUGCAAUUAU
rnacentral:lncRNA from 1 species